rnacentral:rRNA from 1 species
UACGGGGGGGCAAGCGUUGUUCGGAAUUACUGGGCGUAAAGGGCUCGUAGGCGGCCAACUAAGUCGGAUGUGAAAUCCCAGGCUUAACCUGGGAACUGCAUCCGAUACUGGAUGGCUUGAAUCCGGGAGAGGGAUGUAGAAUUCCAGGUGUAGCGGUGAAAUGCGUAGAUAUCUGGAGGAAUACCGGUGGCGAAGGCGGCUUACCUGGACCGACACUGACGCUGAGGCGCGAAGCUAGGGGAGCAAACGGG